rnacentral:lncRNA from 1 species
UUCUAGUUUGCGAACUGUUUUUGUAUAAAAAUGUAUUAUAGUAAUCGUUAUAAAAUAAUUACAGUCUCUCAUUUAAAAAAUAAAUCGUACGAAUGGAAGCUGUGUAUUAUUUUAAACAUUACGAAGAGAUCUUUCUAUGAUAGGCAAAUUUUAUGUACUGUGUUUUGUAUCAUUAUGGUAUUUAUGCAAAAGAAUCUUUUUCGUAAAAAAAUAUGGUUCUUGAUGAUUCUAUUGAAUUAUUAUUUUAUAGUCAUCUAAAUGGUUAGACAGUAUUAAGGCCCAUAGGCUUCGGACCACCCAUGAAUUAUGAUUUGAUAUAUAUUCGGAUAUUUAUAGUCCUGUCUUCGAAAUAAAAAUACGUCGUUUUCGAUAUGUUGUAAAUCUGGUAUUUAUUUUGCUAUAUUUCCACUAAAUUUAAUAAAUCUUGAAAUAAAAUUGUGAAAGACUUCUGUAAGAUGAAUGAUUUUACGAUUUGUAGAUAGGAAUAUUAUUAAAGCAUUCAUUUUUAUCUACAUUUCAAUCACUCUUCUUCGAUGAUUGAUGUAUUAAUAGAACGUUAUUAAAUAAAGUUAGACGCCGUUUUAA